UAAUGAAGCCUUUACAGAAGUUAUAAUCAUAGGGCCAAGAGUAGGAAGUGCGAGCACACAGCAGUAUUUAAAGCUAAGUGCAUCACAUCAGUCAUCAUGAUCAGGAACUUCUAAUGCGAGGCUUCAAGGAAAACCUUUCAGUGAGACCCCCCUGGUGUCUUCCUGUGGAGGGCAUUCUGAGGUCAAAGGCUCACCUGUGCUCCAGGAUGCAAUGGGCUCAAUCUGUAAAGAAAUGACUCCGAUCUAGAAACAUAACAGUGGCCAUCUAUCAGCAGAACGAGGAAAAUAAAUAAAACGUCCUCUCUAUAUGUCUUUAGUAUGCAUUAAUGAAAACAUGUCAGUAAUGUUUCAUUCAGAAGGUG